rnacentral:rRNA from 1 species
UACAGAGGUGGCAAGCGUUGUUCGGAAUUACUGGGCGUAAAGGGCGCGUAGGCGGCCUUAUAAGUCUCGUGUGAAAGCCCUCGGCUUAACUGAGGAUCUGCACGGGAUACUGUAAGGCUUGAGUUCGGGAGAGGAAAGCGGAAUUCCGGGUGUAGCGGUGAAAUGCGUAGAUAUCCGGAGGAACACCAGUGGCGAAGGCGGCUUUCUGGACCGACACUGACGCUGAGGCGCGAAAGCUAGGGGAGCAAACGGG